ensembl:lncRNA
CUUGUGAAAAUCCACAAUGAAUAGAAGUAAAUGAACUCCACUCUACAGCAUGUACAUAUUCGAGUUCUAAAGUCCUUGUUUGUGCCAGCAGUAGCAGUUGGUCAUUGGUUUCCGAGUCUCUUCACACUUCAGAUGGUUUCCGGUAAGAGAUAGCUUGGUUUGGGUAUGAUAUGUUGAAUGGCACCUCAUCUGUGGACUAAAAGGUGGCUUUGUCGCCUUUCCAGGAAGCCAGAUAGAUAACAAGCACCCCCAGGGAACCUGACUAUGUGAGUGUUGCAUGAAUAACAUCCAUUUUUAUAGUGGUAAAAUUGGAGGGAUACAAACUUUCUUGUGCCCCUCCCAUUAGGAGGAGGCUAGAGUUGGAAGAAUAAGUUAGAAUUAGCCCUAGGAUUCUGCAGGGAAUGGAGCACAUUUGUCUAAUUUUAACAACAUUUUCAUGAAGUGGAUUAUUAGCUAAAAACAGGAAUUCUUCACUCUUUGGACCAAGCUCUCUGUGGGAUUUAUUCAAUGAAAGCAAACUUUCACAUGCUUUACUUGAUUCUGUACCUGGAUGGUCAUUCCAGUCCCACCCGGGAACCAUGCCACCACAUCGCAAAUAUUGUGCGCUCUCUUCCUAUAACUCUGGCCUCCAAAGAGGCCCUUUGUUAGGUGAUGAUGGGACAAGCAUUAGUUCCAGCUAAAUAUAUCCAGAGCAAUCAACAAAUAAGACACUGAGAACAAAUUUUUCUAAAACCUCACAUCAGUAAUGCAUUCAGUGGAAUUUAAAUAAUUUUUUUAAAGUUUCAAUGAGGCACAUAUAUUAAAUUGAAGAGCCUCUGGGUCAGAAUAUUACAUGUCCAUGAUUAAUUCAAAAGAAUACAUUGCAUUCCCCUAGUGUUCGCGGUCUAUAAAGCACUGUUGCACUCAUUACAUCUGAUCCAAGCCUCCUCCCCCGCUGGCCAAAGAGCUGCUUUACAUCCUUUACUAUGGGCAUCUAUAAAUAUUAAAUUCACUUACUAGUGACCAUUAGAUUAAAAGGCCCAUGAAACUAUGAGCCCAAAACCUGAAACCGUCAAUCUUAGAGCAUAUUUGAUUUACGAAAAGGCAAUUUCAUCUAGUUCAAUUUAAUCCGAUUUCAUUUUGUUCUGUUAUGCUUUAUUCUCACGGCCCAUUUUGGGACAUGGAAGAACAGUGCUGAUCAUUGCCUCCCAGUUUACAGGAUAUUCUGCUGCCCCCAGAAGUGAGUCUGUUUAACUUGGCACAAGGGAGGAACAGAGUCAUCAUUGGCUGCAAGAGAGGCAUGUUAGUGGGAACAAUAUUCCAUGUCACAGUGAAAUGGAAGGCCCAGAAGGGUGGGAUCCUUGGGAGCAAAAACACAGGCCACAAAAUGUGUUGCAUUUGUCCCAAACCUGCAUGGAGUCCUGUGGCUCUGGACAUACUGGGAUGGAAAUGACUCAAUUUUACCAAGCACCAUCGUGCAAAGUGCAACACUGGACAUAUAAAGUGGCGGCUCAGGAAGAUUACUUAGUGAUCCUAAGGUCACAUGGCAUAGUUGAAAGGUACAAUAUAAAUGUGAAGCUGACUCGAGUCCACAUCCAUACUAUUGCUCAGCACUGCUUUGCAAACUUAGCCUGUGAGAGAAACUCAGUUAACAGUACCUAAUAGAAAACUCUGUUCCUUACUCUACGUUUGGUCCAGCUGCCUGGGCCAGUGAUGGAGUCCAAGAAUACACACACAACAUGCAUCCAAACACAGAGGUUAGGGACUUCUUGAAGGCGAGGCUGAAAAGCAGUACCACAUUGCUGAGUGGGAAAGUACAGUUGUUUGUACCCUCAGCCCAUGCAGAGACUCGAGUCAGUGAUGAGCAGAAGCCUUGGGGAAAAUUUUCCACUUGUGACUAAUUGAAGAGAGAAACAAAACUUGGUGAAGGACUAAAAGAGAGGACCCACG